GCGAAGCUAACGCGUUAAGUAUCCCACCUGUGUAGUACGAUCGCAAGAUAAAACAUAAAGGAAUUGACGGGGACCCGCACAAGCGGUGGAGCGUGAUCUUUAAUUCGAUGUAAACGAUAAACCUUACCAAGGCUUGACAUCUCGGGAAGGCUUCCGAAAGGAAUCUGUGCCUCGGGAACCCGAAGACAGGUGAUGCAUGGCCGUCGUCAGCUCGUGUCGUGAGAUGUUUGUUAAGUCCAUCAACGAGCGCAACCCUUGCAACCAGUUGGAUUUUUCUGGUAGGACUGCCCGGUAACGGGGAGGAAGGAGGGGAUGAUGUCAGGUCAGUAUUUCCCUUACGCCUUGGGCUGAAUCGCGCUACAAUGGCCGGUACAAUGCGAAGCGAAGCAGUGAUGUGAAGCAAACCGCACAAAGCCGGUCCCAGUUCGGAUUGGAGGCUGAAACUCGCCUUCAUGAAGUCGGAAUCGCUGUAAUCGCAGAUCAGCAUGUUGCGGUGAAUACGUUCCCGGGUCUUGUACACACCGCCCGU
rnacentral:rRNA from 1 species